UAACACAUGCCAGACUAACAAGAGAUGAGGAGCUUGCUCUUCAAAUCGAGUGGCGAACGGGUGAGUAACGCGUGAGGAACCUGCCUCAAAGAGGGGGACAACAGUUGGAAACGACUGCUAAUACCGCAUAAGCCCACAGCUCGGCAUCGAGCAGAGGGAAAAGGAGUGAUCCGCUUUGAGAUGGCCUCGCGUCCGAUUAGCUGGUUGGUGAGGUAACGGCCCACCAAGGCAACGAUCGGUAGCCGGACUGAGAGGUUGAACGGCCGCAUUGGGACUGAGACACGGCCCAGACUCCUACGGGAGGCAGCAGUGGGGAAUAUUGCACAAUGGGGGAAACCCUGAUGCAGCGACGCCGCGUGGAGGAAGAAGGUCUUCGGAUUGUAAACUCCUGUUGUUGAGGAAGAUAAUGACGGUACUCAACAAGGAAGUGACGGCUAACUACGUGCCAGCAGCCGCGGUAAAACGUAGGUCACAAGCGUUGUCCGGAAUUACUGGGUGUAAAGGGAGCGCAGGCGGGAGAACAAGUUGGAAGUGAAAUCCAUGGGCUCAACCCAUGAACUGCUUUCAAAACUGUUUUUCUUGAGUAGUGCAGAGGUAGGCGGAAUUCCCGGUGUAGCGGUGGAAUGCGUAGAUAUCGGGAGGAACACCAGUGGCGAAGGCGGCCUACUGGGCACCAACUGACGCUGAGGCUCGAAAGUGUGGGUAGCAAACAGGAUUAGAUACCCUGGUAGUCCACACCGUAAACGAUGAUUACUAGGUGUUGGAGGAUUGACC
rnacentral:rRNA from 1 species